GCCCCGGUAGUGUAGCCCGGUCUAUCAUGCGAGCCUGUCGAGCUCGCGACCCGGAUUCAAAUUCCGGCCGGGGCG
rnacentral:tRNA from 2 species